rnacentral:lncRNA from 10 species
AUCGAGAGCUAUAUGCCUAAAUUGGGUGGGACACCAGGGACAAGAUUCCCUGGUUUUAUAGCUUAGGGGCCUGAGGAUGCAACAUAGAGCUUCCUUAGAUCCAUUUGGAGAUACAACCUGCUCUAAUACUUGGGAGAGGAAGUGAAAGUCUGAAGCACUAGUAUCUAGGAGACAGGGAUCAGAGGAAGUAGAUUCAGAGGUAAGGAGAAUUUUGGGGCUACACUUUCAAGAAAGUCAUGGUCAGGACCCAGGAGGUAUGGUUCAGAGGGAGAGGUACGGGUGCACGCAUGGGCGACUGUUGAGCAGAGACUUCUGGCUGUGCUAUUAUCUCAACUGGCUAAUGCAGGGAGUUCAGGAUGACAGCUUUCUGCCUCUAGUUGGCCCUCAGCUUCCCUAGGAAAAUUCAAAGUGGAAGCUGGCUCCAGGAAGACCAACGCUCCCAACCCAGAAGGGUUGGGGUUUGUUAGAAAGCCCUUUCCCAGACAGCCUCACACCUGAGUCUUAAGUCAGGCAGCCAUGCUAAUCAUUUCUAACUGGCUGAUAGGUGCCUGGUAUUUUCCUCCAAUUAUAAGGAAGGAUAGGACAGAAUAGCAAGUGAAAGUGGUCCAAUAUUACUCACUGCUUUGGAGGUCCCUUUGUGGUUGCCAAAAUGUUACUGGCGGGGGGGCGGUUCUUGUUCUUAGAGCUCCCAAGAUGGUGCAGACCACUUCCAAAAUGGUGGCAAGCUUCUUGUUCUCUGACCCGGGGUUCUUGGCCUCACAGAUUCCAAGGAAUGGAAUGUUGGGCCAUGUGGUGAAUGUUAUAGCUCUCCUAGAAGCUGUGGGUCAUGGAAGAGAACCGUGGAACCCAGCGAGUAGUGUUCAGCUCAAUUAAGAUGAACCCAGGCACUUAGCCAAGCAGGAACAAUGGUGAGCCUUUAGCCCAAUCAGGAGUGGCAAUGGGCACCUCUCUGGAUCAGAAGCACAGUGGACAACAUGCUGGAUCCAGAGGGAUGGAAGUCAGUGGCGGGUCUGUGACAGUGACAAACAGCAGUGGUGGAUGGCGAGCGAAAGCUCAGCUCAAGCCAUAACAAACAUGGACCAGAAGAGUGUGCAGUUGCAAGAUUUAAUAGAGUGAAAACAGAGCUCCUUUAAAAUGGGAGGGGACCCAAAGGGGGUUGCUCAAUUUUAGUCUUUUAACUUUGUUCUUCUACUUUAAAC